rnacentral:rRNA from 1 species
CCUACGGGUGGCUGCAGUAGGGAAUAUUGGACAAUGGGCGCAAGCCUGAUCCAGCCAUGCCGCGUGAGUGAAGAAGGCCCUCGGGUUGUAAAGCUCUUUUGUCCGGAAAGAAAAGCAAUCGGUUAAUACCCGGUUGUUCUGACGGUACCGGAAGAAUAAGCACCGGCUAACUUCGUGCCAGCAGCCGCGGUAAUACGAAAGGUGCAAGCGUUACUCGGAAUUAGCGGGGGUGAAUCGUGCGGUCUGAUGUGAAAGCCCUGGGCUCAACCUGGGAAUGGCAUUGGAUACUGGCGGGCUAGAGGGCGGUAGAGGGUAGUGGAAUUCCCGGUGUAGCAGUGAAAUGCGUAGAGAUCGGGAGGAACAUCUGUGGCGAAGGCGACUGCCUGGACCAGCACUGACACUGAGGCACGAAAGCGUGGGGAGCAAACAGGAUUAGAUACCCGGGUAGUC